CGGCUCAGUAACACGUGGAUAAUCUACCCUAGGGUGGAGGAUAACCUCGGGAAACUGAGGAUAAUACUCCAUAGAUCUAGGAGGCUGGAAUGCGCCUAGAUCAAAAGCUCCGGCGCCCUAGGAUGAGUCUGCGGACUAUCAGGUUGUAGUCAGGGUAACGACCUGACUAGCCUACGACGGAUACGGAUUGUGAGAGCAAUAACCCGGAGAUGGACUCUGAGACACGAGUCCAGGCCCUACGGGGCGCAGCAGGCGCGAAAACUUCGCAAUGUGCGAAAGCACGACGAGGGGAUCCCGAGUGCUUGCACGUAAGUGCAGGCUGUUUCUCUGUCUAGAAAGCAGAGAGAGUAAGGGCUGGGUAAGACGGGUGCCAGCCGCCGCGGUAAUACCUGCAGCUCGAGUGGUGGCCGCUAUUAUUGGGCCUAAAACGUCCGUAGCCGGUUUAUCAAAUGCCUGGGUAAAUCGGGCCGCUUAACGGCUCGAAUUCCGGGUAGACUGAUAAACUUGAGACCGGGGGAAGUUGGAGGUACUCCUGGGGUAGGGGUGAAAUCCUGUAAUCCUAGGGGGACCACCGGUGGCGAAGGCGUCCAACUAGAACGGGUCUGACGGUGAGGGACGAAGCCCUGGGGAGCAAACGGGAUUAGAUACCCCGGUAGUCCAGGGUGUAAACGCUGCCUGCUUGAUGUUAGUCUGGCUCCGGGCCAGGCUAGUGUCGGAGAGAAGUUGUUAAGCAGGCUGCCUGGGGAGUACGGUCGCAAGACUGAAACUUAAAGGGAUUGGCGGGGGAGCACCGCAACGGGAGGAGCGUGCGGUUUAAUUGGAUUCAACGCCGGAAAGCUUACCGGAGGCGACGGAUAUAUGAAGGCCAGGCUGAUGACCUUGCCAGAUUUUCCGAGAGGUGGUGCAUGGCC
rnacentral:rRNA from 1 species